AUUGGGAAUCACGUAACAUUUACAAUCCACUUCUAUGCAAGGCAGUCUUGUGCUAAAGAAUUGCUAAAAGAGACAGUGCCUUUUGAAUGCACCAUAUGUGUUAUUCAAAAGCAGUGGCAAGUCGAAGCUCCUAUCUUAAUCCUCGCUUGUUAUUAUGCCUGGAUCCAACUUUUGAAGGAUAAGAGAUUUCACAGAUCAUUGAUUACAAAGGCAAUAGCCAACACCAACACCCCAGACAUGAGAGGGAUGCUACCUUCGAUGCAGCCUCCCUGCCCGGCCCCAGUCAAGCCACCGAUGACUGCUACUACCUGAGCAAGCCCAGGAGUGGGACUGGUGGCUCUGUAAGAAGAGGAGGAGGCACCUGAGCUGGCACACUCAGCUCCUUCACCAUGUGAUGCCCUGCACCACCUCAAGACUGCAGAGUCCUUACCAACAAGACGGCACUCACCAAAUGCAGCCCUUAGACCCUGGACUUCUCAGUCUUUUUAACUCUGAAGACUUCGCCUUAUAUGUCAAUAGAGAAAGUAAGAAUGGCCAGUGGGAAAUUCUUCAGCCCUUCACCACCGCUUCUACAUACAAAGAAGAUUCUAAAGAAAAUGACCUCAAUCAGAUGGCAGCAUAGGAGUUUUUGGUGCUCAUCCCCUAACGGAAGCAUCAGUUUGAAUAAGCAUCCAUGCAGGCUGUACCUUCAUGAGAGCUAAGGAUUCCAGCCCAUGUAGUGCAGCUCAGAGAGACAUACCCUUCUCAUGGGGAAAAGAGAGUGAAAUGAGUACCCAACUUCACCACCAACCCCAGGACCAGACCCAGAAAAUCCCAACACCGAGCCAGCCCCUGUGGAUACAAGCUCCAGGCCCACCUGCCCACUGACCCAGACACUGGGCCAGCCUGCCCAAGAACUCCAAAA
rnacentral:lncRNA from 1 species